CUGCACUGAUGAUCAUAGAUUUUUCUGACUUGGUAUUGUUGCCCUACGGGCGGCCUCUGACCAGGAAGUGAGCGCAGUUGAUCUUCUCUCUGAGCAG